CAAGUCGAACGAGUUCUGAUUAUUGAAAGGUGCUUGCAUCUUGAUUUAAUUUUGAACGAGUGGCGGACGGGUGAGUAACACGUGGGUAACCUGCCCUUAAGUGGGGGAUAACAUUUGGAAACAGAUGCUAAUACCGCAUAAAUCCAAGAACCGCAUGGUUCUUGGCUGAAAGAUGGCGUAAGCUAUCGCUUUUGGAUGGACCCGCGGCGUAUUAGCUAGUUGGUGAGGUAACGGCUCACCAAGGCAAUGAUACGUAGCCGAACUGAGAGGUUGAUCGGCCACAUUGGGACUGAGACACGGCCCAAACUCCUACGGGAGGCAGCAGUAGGGAAUCUUCCACAAUGGACGCAAGUCUGAUGGAGCAACGCCGCGUGAGUGAAGAAGGCUUUCGGGUCGUAAAACUCUGUUGUUGGAGAAGAAUGGUCGGCAGAGUAACUGUUGUCGGCGUGACGGUAUCCAACCAGAAAGCCACGGCUAACUACGUGCCAGCAGCCGCGGUAAUACGUAGGUGGCAAGCGUUAUCCGGAUUUAUUGGGCGUAAAGCGAGCGCAGGCGGUUUUUUAAGUCUGAUGUGAAAGCCCUCGGCUUAACCGAGGAAGUGCAUCGGAAACUGGGAAACUUGAGUGCAGAAGAGGACAGUGGAACUCCAUGUGUAGCGGUGAAAUGCGUAGAUAUAUGGAAGAACACCAGUGGCGAAGGCGGCUGUCUGGUCUGUAACUGACGCUGAGGCUCGAAAGCAUGGGUAGCGAACAGGAUUAGAUACCCUGGUAGUCCAUGCCGUAAACGAUGAAUGCUAGGUGUUGGAGGGUUUCCGCCCUUCAGUGCCGCAGCUAACGCAUUAAGCAUUCCGCCUGGGGAGUACGACCGCAAGGUUGAAACUCAAAGGAAUUGACGGGGGCCCGCACAAGCGGUGGAGCAUGUGGUUUAAUUCGAAGCACGCGAAGACCUUACCGGUC
rnacentral:rRNA from 1 species